UGGGGAAUAUUGCACAAUGGACGAAAGUCUGAUGCAGCAACGCCGCGUGGAGGAUGACACAUUUCGGUGCGUAAACUCCUUUUAUAUGGGAAGAUAAUGACGGUACCAUAUGAAUAAGCACCGGCUAACUCCGUGCCAGCAGCCGCGGUAAUACGGAGGGUGCAAGCGUUACUCGGAAUCACUGGGCGUAAAGAGCGUGUAGGCGGGUAUAUAAGUCAGAAGUGAAAUCCAAUAGCUUAACUAUUGAACUGCUUUGGAAACUGUGUACCUAGAAUGUGGGAGAGGUAGAUUGAAUUUCUGGUGUAGGGGUAAAAUCCGUAGAGAUCAGGAGGAAUACCGAUUGCGAAGGCGAUCUACUGGAACAUUAUUGACGCUUAGACGCGAAAGCGUGUGGGGCAAACA
rnacentral:rRNA from 1 species